ACUAAAGUGAGUUAUCGAAGAGGCAGAAGUAGGACUGAAUCUAGGACAGUUUGGAUUUGGACAUAUAAAGUAGUUAGAAAAAUUGGAGCAACUUUGUGGGCAGAAUGAGGCAUAAAGCUUCUUUGAGGUGAAUGUUUAAGUACCUGGACGUUUGAGCCUGGUAUAACAUCUUUGGCAGUGGCGAGUGUGCUGGCAAAGUUUUUUUCACUGAAACCAUGAUUUUCUAUUCCUUUCCCAUGGGAUCACCUCCUGAAGCAGUCAGAGGGUUAUUUUAGGAGUCAGAUUCUCAAGGGAGCAAUGAUCAGUGUAAAACAGAAUAAAAACAGUACAAAUUCUUUAUUUCUGGAAGUCUGUAUACCAUAGUAGAGGCAAUAUUUUAAAAAGAGAGUUUCAAAGUUGUUUAUUUUGCAAUGAACUUACUGAGACACAGAUUUUACUUCUUUUUCUGUCUUAACUGCCGGAAGCUUCUAUCUAAUUAUCAAGAUCCAAAGCCUGUUGGAAUUUGAGCCACAAAUUGAUAUAAUAGACUAGGAAAGUGACGUUUAAACUGAUUAAUGUAUGAGAAAAGUUAUUAUAAAAAGAAUAUAAUUAGACAAUACAAGUAGUAGUCUCUGGGAAGCACUCAAUUUACUGAUUUUAAAAACAAUCCCUAAAGAAUGGAGAUGACACAAACCUGUUGAAAAGCAAAAAAAAGUAUCCACAUGUUUGUUAAAGAUGAUAAGGCAGAAGUUAUUCAAAGGGGUGAUAGUUACAGUGAUGACUGCUGUGGGUUCUUGAUUUGGGAAGAGAGAUUAUAUUCAACCCUGACUUGCAUAAGGAGAUAUUUACAACCACGGAGCAAGGUAGACAUCAGUGGAUAGAAAAUUACCUGGGAAACAUCAGCUGAAGGGGACUUCUGACUAAGCCAACUGAUAGGAUUAUUACUGAAGGCCGGUAAGGGUGACAGAAUAUUCAUGGUGGUCAGAUAACAAGCAUGGGGAUAUUUUUCCAAUACUAACUUAAAAGGUUUACUACUAAAAUUGGAUUCUGUAGAGCAAAGAAGGAAAUAUAAAUUCAAACCCAGUUAAGCAGAGGACUCAGAGGAGCUUGACUGAAGUUUUAUUCAAAAGAAUGUUUGAUAGCUACUAGAUAGGAGAAGACAUAAAUAAUUACUUGGCUACCCAUGGUGUAAUAUAGAAAACACACAGCCCAAAAUGGUACCUGUGGUGAGAAUAGCAAAAGUUCAAAGAGAUUCUCAGUUAGAUCAAAGUUUGAAAAUCUCAAAAAGUCAUGACUUCCAGGAUUCAGAUGGGAAAAUAACAAAGAAAUCUGAAGCAAGGAUUCAUAAUUGUGUGUGUGGCGUUGGCAGUUAUAACCAGGCAUGGGGCCAUGAGCUGGUCCAGGAAAGGUGAUGAGAAUAAUGUGGACUGGAUGGAGAAGAGCUACAUUUCAGUUGAGACAGAGACAAGAAGAAUGGAUGCUCUUGUUCUCAUGAGUGCAUUAUGUAUAACUCCAUUUCCCACCUCAAAAUUUACAUGAUUUAUGGAGGAGCUGGGAGAAACACAGCUCUGCAUAUGUACGGGUGUACUUACAUGGUGGUGAUGUUUCUAGAAGGUAGAAUUCUAAGACACUCACUCUUAACACAGAAGUAAUAAAAUUACCAUGAAUUAAUAGAGCUAAAUAUUUCCCAUGGAAUUGGAAUCUCAAUGAAAUCAAUUCCGUGUAUAGACGUCGACUGUUUGCCAUAGAGAUGGAAUCUCCUUUGAAAGCUGUUUACAGGGAGGGUAUGGCAAGGGAAAAUGUGCCCAAGGUCCUGUAUUUAUGUCUGGGAGCCUGUUGAUCUGGAGGCUGUGAAGACUUUGAUAAAGGGGUCAACAUCUGUUGAUAAUUUUCUUGCUGCAUCAUCCUAUGAGUUCCUCUCUUGGCCUAUAAAUUAAACCAUUAGGUUCAAGAACAAUGGAGAGUUGCGAUGUCUCUUUGAUGACUUCAUCAAAAUCGCAGGUGGGAGUUCUUAUUCAUUGCUGUGUGAAUGGCCACAGCAUGCACAAUUCUAAGGUGUCGGGUGAGUCAGUUGUGGGAAAAUGAAGUCAAGACCAGAAAUGUCCGACAUCAAUACUGAAAGAUCAUUCCUUGACAUUUGCAGAAGUAAAAAGGAUGGAAAUAUAGAUCAUAUGACUGAUCCUAUUUCAAGGCCCUAAGCCAUGAGUUGUGCCAAGAUGAAAAAUUAUGUUAUUUGUAUAAAUUGAAGAGCACUGUAUCGUUUAGUAGAGAAUGGUUUUCAGAAGCCAAGAUCUGGGCUCUGAACUGGCUCAUCAUUAUCAGUAUAUCAUUGUCAUGUUUUCGAGUUCCAGUAAGGACAUGAAGACCCAAAGAAGUAGCAAAACCUACAUGCAUUGUGUGAGGUUGAGCAAAGAAAGGCACUUAUGAAAAAGUGUCUAAAUUAUGUGAGGAUUCCAAAGGAAGAUAAAAUUAUUUGAACAAGGCACUAAUUUGUAAAGAUGACUUGGUUCAUGAAUAGCUAUUCAAGAGUUAAAGAAACCAGAUGGAGAAGCAAGACUACAGCUAUGGAAGUAGAGCAAAGAAUGAACUAGGGAUCUUGCCUUAGAGCUCAGGACCAGACUGCAGCUGUGUGAUUAAGAGUCUGAAAGAAGGCCGGUGCCGCAGCUCACUAGGAUAAUCCUCCACCUUGCGGUGCCGGCACACCAGGUUCUAGUCCCGGUCGGGGCGCCAGAUUCUGUCCCGGUUGCCCCUCUUCCAGGCCAGCUCUCUGCUGUGGCCAGGGAGUGCAGUGGAGGAUGGCCCAAGUGCUUGGGCCCUGCACCCCAUGGGAGACCAGGAGAAGCACCUGGCUCCUGCCAUCAGAUCAGUGCGUUGGCCGGCCGCGGCGGACAUUGGAGGGUGAACCAACGGCAAAAGGAAGACCUUUCUCUCUGUCUCUCUCUCUCACUGUCCACUCUGCCUGUCAAAAAAAAAAAAAAAAAAAGAGUCUGAAAGAAUCCUGACGUCAGGUUAAACUGCCACCUGCAAUGCCGGCAUCCCAUAUGAGCACCAGUUCAAGUCCUUCCUCCAUUUCUGAUCCAGGUCCCUGCAAAUGUACAGUGGAAGAAAGCCCAACCACUUGUGCCCCUGCACCAAUGUGGAAGACAGGGAUGGAGUUUCAGGAUCUCCUCUUCAGCCUGGCCCAGCCCUGCCUAGUGAGGCCAUUCAAGGAGUGAACCAUCACCUGGGUGGUCUCUCUCUUUUUAUGCCACUUCCUGUUUGUAACUCUGCCUUUCAAAUGAAUAAAAACAACAGUAUGUUCCUAAAGUUGUAUUUAUGAAAUUCCUAAGAUUGUAUACUUGAAUAAGAGGUAUUUGGGUUUAAAAAAAAAAGAAAGUAAGAAAGAAAAACCAAAUGCCUCUGUCCCAGGCCAGUGCUUGCAGACAACCAAUAGAGUGGCUGAACAUCAGAGAUCUUACUCCACAGGGUCUUGUUUCAUCAUAUAUCAUGGCUCAUAUGGCCUGGCCUUCACCCCUGAGACUGGGUGGGGCCUGCUAACUGAGAACCAGUUGUGACCUGGCUAAGAGUCAGCCUAAUUACCCCUACUUUAAACUUGAAUAGACAGACAGUAACCAAAGGAUUCUGUACUGGGACUCAGUGCUAGGCUGGUAACACACAAAAGGAAUGAUCCUCAUUCCUAUGCCAGUGACUACAGACAGACCUUCCAUUUGCUAAAGGCUCAGUCAGGCUUCCUGCUUUACCAGGAAGCUGGAUAUGUUUUGUCUCACUGACAGCUAAAUGUGGGUCUGUUGUGAACCUUAGCCCCCACAUCUUCCAGAUUGUACCGGGUCUGUCUACUGACAAUUUUGAUACCCAGCUGUCUCCCAUCUUAGUACCAGUGGAGGUGGCCAAUAGGUUGACUAUCACCCUUUAAACAUCCUUGGGCAGAUAGCAAAGAAUGGCAGGGCUGUGCUUUGUGCUCAAUAUCAGCCAUAUUGGGAAAAUAUAACAUUGGGCAGAUCCUAAUGGACAUUGUUCCCAGGUCACGGUCAACCACUGGAGCCUCUGAACUUGCCCCAGUGCCAAUUGGAGUUCCGUGGCCCUGGUUCAUUGGCCUUAUAUUCUAGCCAGCAUCACUUGUGGCUAGUUGUAGCAGCCCUGAACUGUGAUUCCAUCUCUGUAGUAGGUCACAGCAGUAUGGAUUUUGAUCCCCCAGUGGGCUGUGAGCUACUGGUGUGAUAUAGCACUGUAUCAUUGGCAGGCAAAAAACUAGGCAUCAGGGCCUACCCUUGUUCCAGAAAGAGGCUUGUAGGGGUAGACAAUACCAGUUUCAGCGCCUCUUUAUUCAUGCUGAGUGGCACAUCAGCUGCAAAUUUGAAAUAAACUCAAGUUCAGAGUGGCAUGCAAUGAGCAAAAUAAGGUACCAGAAACCAACCAUCUCAGCUCUGACAUAGUCAAUGCUUGGAUGAAGAAUUCAAGAUAGUUGCUUUAAGGAAACUCAAUAAAUUUCAAGAGAACAAAGAAACAAUCUAGUACUUUAACAGAAAUUUUACAGAAAGAUGAAAGUAAUUAAAACUCUCCACAUGAAAAUUACAUUAUGUGAAAUUUAAAAUGUAAUAAAAAGCAUCAAUAGCAUAAUCAAUGAAAUAUAAGAAAAAAAUCCAUGAACUAGAAGGUAGGCUCUUUGAAAAUCCACAGUAAUUGGAGAAAAAAUAAAGUCGAUAGCAGCGAAGGAAGAUUGAGACUUUAGGAGAGCAUAUAAAGAGUAAAUGUCUGAAUAAUUAGGCUUCAAGAGGAACUUAAGGAUGAAUAAAGGGAUAAAAGUCAUAUUUAAAGACAUAAUAAAAGGAAGGUUAUCAAACCAAGAGAAAAAUAUAACUAUUUAAAUAUAGGAAGGUCAGGAGUCAUCAGCCAUGUUCAACUCAACCAUGUCUAAACCAAGGCAUAUUAUAAUGGAGCUCUCCAAAAUAAAAGAUAAAACGAUUCUCAAAGUUGCAAGAAGAAAUAAAUAAAGGAUCAAAAUUAAGCCAAAUGUUGACUUCUUAGCAGAAAACUUAAAGGCCAGGAGGGAGUAGCAAUAGACUUUCAUAGUAUUGAAAGAAAACCAAAUAAAAAAACGUGCCAGCCAAGAGAAUGUUGUACCCAGCAAAGCAGUCCUCCAGACAUGACAGAAAGAUAAAGAUAUUCCCAAACAAAAUCCGUGAAAAUUUUUAACCUCUAGACUUACAAGAAAUGUUAAACAGAGUUCUUUAAGCAAAGAGGUGCUACAAAGUAAGACCACAAUAUAAGAAAGUAGGAAACACAAAAGAGUAGGCAUACAAAUUCAAAAUUCAAUGGUGUAAUAAACUUGUAUAAAUCAUUCAUAUUCUUAGUAUGAAGACUAAAAUGCAAAGCAAUUAAAAUAAUGGCAACUGCAGUAAUGUUAAGAGAUAGGGGAUGUAGAAAAAUGGAAAAUAAGACCUCAAAAAUGCAAAG